GCACUGCCGAGGAGUCCCACAAUAGGACGAAACGACCGUCCAAUGC
rnacentral:hammerhead_ribozyme from 1 species